rnacentral:misc_RNA from 1 species
GAUGAAGAACGCAGCGAAAUGCGAUAAGUAAUGUGAAUUGCAGAAUUCAGUGAAUCAUCGAAUCUUUGAACGCACAUUGUGCCCUCUGGUAUUCCGGGGGGCAUGCCUGUUCGAGCGUCAUUAUAACCACUCAAGCUCUCGCUUGGUAUUGGGGCUCGCGGUUCCGCGGCCCCUAAAAUCAGUGGCGGUGCCUGUCGGCUCUACGCGUAGUAAUACUCCUCGCGAUUGAGUCCGGUAGGUCUACUUGCCAGCAACCCCCAAUUUUUACAGGUUGACCUCGGAUCAGGUAGGGAUACCCGCUGAACUUAAGCAUAUCAAUAAGCGGAGGA